UGGGCCAAGGGUUGAACCCACUUGACCUUAUGAAUGGGUACUUGAACUUUGCGGUUGUUAAUUAAGUGGCCACUUGAACUUUUAAUUGGAUAAGUGGUAAUGAAGUGGCCACUUGAGAUCUGAAGUGGUUUUGAAGUGGGCCAGGUGUCAUAUUUAAUUGGAUUAAUGACUAAGUGGUGUCUGAAGUGCCUCUCGGCGACAUAAUUGCUUUUAAAGUGGUGGGUGUGGUUGUUGACAAGAGUCACUGUCUGGGAAUGUGUUCUGGAAACUUCUAGGUAUUCCCAGGCUAAUUAGAACUAGCUCUACGGUAUGAUGUCAUAGGGGGGUAUUUUUUAGGAGGUGUGACUCAUUUAUAAAUUGAUAUAUGAUGCAGCGUUUACUGGAAAAUGUGAUCAGUUAGCAUCAUGGAUAUUGAAGAGCAAUUUGAAAUACUGCGUGCGUACAAGGAGCGUCAACGCGCCGUCGUUGAGCAUGACGAUGACCCUUGUCCUGAUGCCCCUCCUCCUAGUCCAAACAUUGACAAAUGUUUUCAUAAUCAUCAAGUUGUGAACGAGGGGCACUUUGUGUGUACUGUAUGCGGACUUGUUCUUGAUAGCGUGCUGUUGCCGGAGGUGAAUUUUACAGAGAGAUGCAUUCUCCCACGGCUAUAUGCGGCUCGGGAGCGAUUGACUGCCGUCGACAGACAUCUGGUACGCUUCAUGCAGAAGACCGGUGUCCUGCUGAACCUUCACGGUGUGCUGGAACCGUUGCAGUACAUGAAGAAGGAGAGUGGCUACAAGAGCCUGAACUAUGCCAUAGCUCUGACAUGCAUCUGUGCUGAGCGCGACGAGAUUUGCCAGAAGCUUCAGCCAUAUCUUCCAAAGAGCCAUGUGGCGUGGGCACGAUCCAGCAAGCUAAUGAGUUGCAAACCGCAGCAAUUUUCGAAAGCCUGGCUCCGCCAACUUCUAAUCCGUACAAAACCUCUUACCCCUUUUCAGCUGAAGAAGUUUAAGCAGAAUAUCCGAGAGUUUAAUUCUGAGGAGAAGGAACUGAUGCAAAGACUAAUCCAAUCUUACGGGUGCUGUGAACCUCGUGUGGAAUUAAUUCCUGCGGAGAUGAAAUGUGCGCUGUACCGUUUCUCAAGUGCCAUGUGUAGGGCGAGGAAGAUGAUGAUGAAGGGUACCGUUGCCGCUGUAUAAAACCCCUGACAUCUUAAUUUUCCAUCAUUUCGCAAAGCAUCCUUGCCAAGUCACAAGUAAUUGUUGUUGUUGUCUUCAUCCUUGCUAUUACUUUGGUGAAGAAGAAGAAGAAGAAGAAGAAGAAGAAGAACAACAACAACAACAACAACAACAACAACAACAACAACAACAACAACAACAACAACAACAACAACAAGAAGAUCAUGAACAUGUGGUCUAUUUUGAAAGAUCAUGGUGAGGACGGCCAUUGUACAAUGGGUGCGCUGAUGCGUUGUGCUGCGCGGUUAGGAAUCGCAACCUCGCUGACAAACCUGGUGGAACCUUUCAAUGGAGACCAUGGAUAUGAUCAAGCAGUUGUUGAAAGUCACCCCAUAACCAACUUGAUCUGGAUUGCUGCCAAGGACAUGGCUUGCUGCGGGCGGAAAGAACUACUUGAUGUAGUGAAGCUGCUGUUUCCAGUUGAUCCAACCCCUGAUGGAAGUACGCCUAGUACUGCUACUGGCAAGUCGGACAUUGCUCAACGCCACCUCAUGAAGAACCUAUCCUGCGUGUUCAAGAAGGUGAAGAGCACCCCUUCCAGUAACAACAUUAGUAUGAUCAUCGUGUUGGUUGCAAUGCUCAUUCUCUUGUGUGAAGAAGUGUCGCUGAGAGGAUACGAUCAUGAGCUGCACUGCACUCUAUAUCUAGUUGAGUUCUUCAAUCAAGAACUGCAUGCUAUUGACGUGGUGCACUACAAGCGUUGUCAGCAAACUCAGUCAACAUUCACGAAUUGUGGAAUUCCACAAAUGCUCACAUUGAUUACUAUUAUGUCUAUCCUUGCCUCCCUCACUUUGAGCUAUAUUAUUAAAUUUGACAUGUAGACACACACACACACACACACACACACACACACACACACACACACUCAAAUCAUCAUCAUCAUAAUACAUGACGUUAUUCAUUAAAAAUGUUUUAUUAUAAUUUAUCAAUACACUUGGUAAAGAAAACGGAAUGAAUCAUAAAUGUUGUAGUUUCUGUACACGCCUGUGAUGGUAUCGUCCAUUCUCAGUACGGCUUGAUUGGCAUGGAGUGGGUUGGAAGUGAAUGACAGCGUGCACUUGUUCUUCCUGGGUGUUUGACUGUGUGACAUCCAGUAGCGUAUCUCCUUUGUCCCGCGCUCUGCAGCAUCUGCAGGGUAUCCAACUAGAAUGUAUAACCCAAGUGGCACAAUGGUACCGGCAUCCACAUUUUUCCAAAUGGGAAUUCAGUGAGCACCAGUUCUGUGUUUGCUUGAGUCUCCGGGAGUGUUCCGCUGACAGUGUGUUCUUCUAAAGCGAAAGUUUGUCGUAUCAGUGUUCUUCUUAACGAGGUUUCACUGUACAUAGAUGCAAAAAGACACACAUAGGUGGUCUUUAUAUUGCAUUGUCUAUUCCUUGAUACAUUGACACGUCUGUGUAUUGCUCCCCGUUCUGAUAGGUGUAUGUUUUUGUUGUAAUCGCCGUCACGUGAACGGUGUUGUCAGCCCUCAUCUCUCUUCUUUUUACCAUACAUUCCUUGUAGACUUGUAGGGUUUCAUUCUGUUGAUGUUGUUGCUGUCCGUCUUGUUGUCGUGGAGGUGGUGGAGGUGGGCUAAUUAAGUGGCCACUUGAAAUGUGAAGUGGUGUUUGAAGUGCCUAUCGGCGACAUAAGUAUUUCUUUUAAAGUGGUGGGUGUGGUGUUAGUAAGAUUGACUGUCUGGGAUGUUUUUUUUGAAAUUGAAUUAUGAUAUUCUGGAAUAUUCUAGGUAUUGCCAGACUACCCUUCAACCAACGAGCAUCAAACAACUGGAUGGGGAUAAAAGUGAUUGGAGCUGCCUUGAUGAGUCCCAUUCAACUCCAGCCUGAAGAUCGUCUUCUUCUUCUUCAAAACAAAGAUGCAAUUCAGCUGUGACUUAUGUCUUAAGACUACGACCGGCCUCCAGCCGUUCGUUGACCACGCCAAAUCAAAAGGACAUCGGAAGAACCUGGAGGCUGGUCGUCAGCCGGUUUAUAAAUGUAGCUGCGAUGACGAGUGGAUUGAUCUUGGGACAAUGAAGGAUCACGUUACAACGUCCCGACACAUCAACAACUACCUUCAGAGGCUUAUCAACUUCUACGGGGUGUUGCCCAUUAACAGCGUGACGAAGAUGGCGCAAGCCCAGGCGGAGCUCCUGUGUUUAUAAUAAAAAGUUUAAAACCAA